rnacentral:rRNA from 1 species
CCUACGGGUGGCAGCAGUGAGGAAUAUUGGUCAAUGGACGAGAGUCUGAACCAGCCAAGUAGCGUGAAGGAUGACUGCCCUAUGGGUUGUAAACUUCUUUUAUAUGGGAAUAAAAUGUUCCACGUGUGGGAUUUUGUAUGUACCAUAUGAAUAAGGAUCGGCUAACUCCGUGCCAUCAGCCGCGGUACUAUGGAGGAUCCGAGCGUUAUCCGGAUUUAUUGGGUUUAACGGGAGCGUAGGUGGGUUGUUAAGUCAGUUGUGAAAGUUUGCGGCUCAAACGUAAGAUUGCAGUUGAUACUAGCAGUCUAGAGUACAGUAGAGGUGAGCGGAAUUCGUGGUGUAGCGGUGAAAUGCGUAGAUAUCAGGAAGAACACCGAUUGCGAAGGCAGCUCACUGGACUGCAACUGACGCUGAGGGUCGAAAGUGUGGGGAGCAAACAGGAUUAGAUACCCGGGUAGUC